rnacentral:rRNA from 1 species
UACAGAGGGGGCAAGCGUUGUUUCGGAAUUACUGGGCGUAAAAGGGCGCGUAGGCGGCCAACUAAGUCAGACGUGAAAUCCCUCGGCUUAACCGGGGAACUGCAUCUGAUACUGGAUGGCUUGAGUUCGGGAGAGGGAUGCGGAAUUCCAGGUGUAGCGGUGAAAUGCGUAGAUAUCUGGAGGAACACCGGUGGCGAAGGCGGCAUCCUGGACCGACACUGACGCUGAGGAGCGAAAGCCAGGGGAGCAAACGGG